UUUGACCUCUGGAGGUCUAAUACAUAAUUAAAUAGAUUGUAUUGUACUCUCUUUAUCUGCACAUAUAUAGCAUAAACCCUAAUAAAUGUGUUAAAAAACCGCAAAUUGCGACUAGCAUAAAUUUUCACUACUUGGUCUCUCCAUUUCCCCAUAAACCAGUUUAAAAAAAUAGUCUUCGUAGGUAUACAUACAUACUGUAUUAGUUCUUCUCGUGUUAAGUAAGUUAAAUAUAUAAAAGCUGUAAUUAGCUGUUUUUACAACAAAUAUUAAUUUUAAAACAUUUUUGCGUAAUUUAUUCAGUUGAAACAACUAACACAAAAGUAUUGAAAUAGCCUAUUACGUGAUAAGCAACGUGUACUUUCCAUUGUUUGCUAGUCAACCGUGACAGGAAGAAUAUAAUUAUGAGAUAUUUUUAGGCAGCUGUCUGACUAGAAUAAGCGAUAAACAAGUAGCGUUAGAUUAUUUUUUUUCGCGGAUGAUUAAUUUCUCUUUUAAAAUAAGGGGUGUACCGAAAUAAAACUGUAGACUUCAAAUGAAAAUAACUGAUGCGAUUGAGAACAAACUAAGGUUUUUAGAAUAACUACUAUAAAAAGUGACUUUUAAAUUAGAUAAUUGACAGUUUAUUAAAUAUAUUUUAUUCUGUACGAGUGAUAGGCAGCUUUUUACGGACCCGUUUUUCAUAUUUGCUUGCAUCAGCAGCAUCACCUGCUGGAAUUGUUCAUGUUUUUUGGACGGCACUCCAGGACGUUUGGCGAUCUUGCUGUGCUCUUCGAUAAUUACCAAAUGCGAUUUUUGUACGAAGGAAAUUAAAUAAGGGGCCUAGAAUUAAAUAACGCAAAUUUUCGAUUACUUUAGCUAACCUAACCUUUGUACGAAGAACUGAACUGACUUUCGUCGUAGUUCAUUCCACUUUAACCGAAUAUAUGUUACCCUAGUUUUUAUGAUAAAUAUGACAGGCAUGCUUCGUUUUCGCAAAUUAUUAGUAAUCUUUCUGACGCGCCUAGAGUCACUUGUUCCUAGAGGUCUGCCGUUUCAAGGCCUCUGUUCAAAAGACAACAUAUACUAACCGCUCGAUUCGAAGAAUGAUUAAUACACGUUUAAGAUCUUUAAAAGAUCGAUUACUAUAUGAUAUGUCAAAAUUGACGUUUAUUUCGAUUCGACUGAGAACCCAAUAAGAUAUAUAUCUACGAUAUUUCUACCGUCAAAGUGACAUUGGUUGCCCGAAUCGAGCUGCUACGACAUCUUAUACGACAUACAAACGAUAUCUAAGUGAGAACUUAUCUAAACCAGAACUUAUCGUUAUCGUAUUUCAUUCUUCGAAUAGGGCCGUAAAUUAGAUAUUUAUUAUGAAAUGCACGAAACUUCUAAGUAAUUUUAAGUGUUUCGAAAUGAACCAUAUAGGAUGUUACAAAUUUUCUUGCUAUUUGGAAAAUAACAAUUUUUAAUGAUUUCUUCUAUUUACCGGUGUAACGUUGGUUAGUGUAAAAUCAGAAUUAUUUAUAUUGGAAUAUAUAAUAAUAUAUAAUAAUUAAAAUUAUUAUCGCGGUAAGAAAGUCGUAGUCAUCGUGGCUAGAAGCAAAAUAACAGCCGUUUGAAAUUUACAGUUUUUUAUCGGUACAGGCCUCAUUUUCGUAGAUAGUGUGAACACUCAGCGAUCAACGAUGGAAUAUUGCAAUUCUUUUGUUUACUUGGUUUUUAGGGUUCCGUACCAAAAAGGUACAAAAGGAACCCUUAUGGUGCGACUCUGUCCGUCCGUCUGUCUGUCACAUUGCUAAAUAUCUUGAGAACUACUUGAGCUAUCGUUUUGGAAUUUGAAAUAUUUAUGAACAAAACAACACUAACCCAGGAACCUAGGUAGGUACCUGCAUUUCUUACGUGAGAUUGAGUCAAUCGAUAGUCGGUAUUUUGACGCAAGUCGAACAGCUGCCUAAUAAUUUAUUAGUUUUUAAUACUUUCUGUUUAUACCUAUAUUUUGUCUAGUGUAAAACAUUUCCGCACCAAAACCCCCGAUGCAUGCUAAAAAAAUACAUUAUGUAAAUGCAAGAAUGUAUGAAAAAACCGCAAAACAGAUUGGCACGACCUAGAUAAACACACCAUCUUGCCAACAUUCAAGUGCCUAGAAGUGUUACUAAACACACGUACCUAUAUACUUUUCAGAAACAAAAGUUUUCUAGCUUACCUACGGUGUGUGUGUGUGUAUGGAGUGCGGGAUAAUAUUACCUUCCAGGAGCGGCGUUUUUAAAACCACAAAACCAUAUUUAACACAUCAAUUUACAUUAGUCGUUAGAAAUUAAAUAAAUUAAACCGUUCUCAUAUAUGCCUUAACCUUUAAUAUAAAAAAUACAUCACAGACGUAAAAAAAUUAACAGAUAAGAUAAAAGUCCUCUCAAAUAUUUUGCAUAACGCAGCAUAAACUUUUGUGUAAAAUAAAUAAUACUAUUUAAAAUAUCCUUAUUGUUGCAGUCAAAUGUAAUUAUCAUCUAUUAGCUUUCAGCUAAAGUCACAAUUUGUUUUCCACUGGUCUGCAUAGUUGUAUAUAAGUGGAAGAACAGAUACAAUAGCAGUCCAACACAUACGAUGAAGAACACUAUACAUAUGCACACUACGCACUCCGAGAGGUACACCUUGACACGUUCAGAUCUGCUCAUCCGAUAGGUCGGUAAGUCCACGCUGGAAUACGUCCACAUCUUCACAGGAAACUACUUCGUUGAGUUACUUCACAUCUAUGUACUUAGUUGCCGAACGCAAUUAUGAUAUGAUUACGAUUUUCUUGUAAAUUUUGUCAGCGCGCAUCUGUCAUCAGUAUCUUAUCAGCUUCUUAAUUUAAGUCUUGUCGUAUCGUAUGUUUGCUUUCCGCAACCACAUUGUUUUAGACGCAUUUUUACAAACACUUCUUUUAUGAUGAUUUUAUGACUUGUUCUAGAUGUAGAUAAUUCUGCAAAUUGUCAAUUUAGCCCUUAUUUAGAUAGUUCAAAAUAUUUAAGUCAUGUAUUUUUUAAACACGCGAAUCGCCGCGCCGCUGCGCCCGCGGCUGACCGUGGCGGUAGUUUAUUGACGUUUGCUCUAUUACAUUACAUUCGCGUGCUGUACCCGUAUUGUUAAGUACAAUAACUUACUCGGCAAUGUGUGCGUUACUUCACUGAUAACGUGAGUUUUACCGUUUUGUUGACACAACCAUUUACUGCAGUCAAUUUGCCAUAAAAUUACUUUUAGAUUAGAUUUGAAUUAAUUGUAUUCUUUCAAUUGACACGUUAUCUCAGUGUUGUCUUUGAUCGUAACGAGUGCUAAUUAAAAAAAAGGUUAGAUUUGACAAAGCUGCGCGUCAUCCUAGAUGUCAAGAACCUGGUGGCGUAGCCAACGUGCAAAUCGCUUACGCUCCGUAGCGAUCGAAACGCAACUAUGAUUGUCACACUAAUACGGAAGGGUGAUAGAGACACAAAGCUUUUCGUUGUCGAAGCGAUGACAGCGAAACGCAGCCUGGCUAGGCUGGCAGACCAGAUAAAUGUAACUUCCUGUAAAACGACAUUAACUAUCUUAAACAAAAUAAACUAACUUCACAAUACAUAACAGUUUAGAAUG